rnacentral:misc_RNA from 1 species
AAGUCGUAACAAGGUUUCCGUAGGUGAACCUGCGGAAGGAUCAUUAUCGAGUGCCGGGCGCAAGCCCGUACCCGCACCCAGUGUCGACUCUCUCUGUUGCUUCGGCGCGCACGCUCCGGCGGCCGCCGAAGGACCCAACCAAACGCAUGGCAAACCGGUCCGUCCGAGGAUACGCAAAUCAGUCAAAACUUUCAACAACGGAUCUCUUGGUUCGG